GAAGUACUCCCUCCGUCCGAAAAAACUUGUCUCAAGCUUGUCCUUCAAAUGGAUGUAUCUAGCACUAACUUGGUGCUAGAUCCAUCCAUUUGAGGGACAAGUUUUUUCGGACGGAGGGACAUUACUAU
rfam:Triticum aestivum genome assembly, contig: Triticum_aestivum_CS42_TGACv1_scaffold_361293_4DS